rnacentral:rRNA from 1 species
CCUACGGGGGGCAGCAGUGAGGAAUAUUGGUCAAUGGGAGAGAUCCUGAACCAGCCAAGCUGCGUGAGGGCAGACGGCCCUAUGGGUUGUAAAACUCUAUUGUCGGUGAACAAAAACAGGGAUGUGGCCAGGACUGCGUGUAUCCGAAGAAGAAGCAUCGGCCAAAGCCGUGCCAGCAGCAGCGGUAAGACGGAGGAUGCGAGCGUUAUCCGGAUUUAUGGGGUGUAAAGGGUGCGUAGGCGGUCCGUUAAGUCAGCGGUAAAAGUGCGGGGCUCAACCCCGUCGAGCCGUUGAAACUGGCAGACUUGAGUUGGCGAGAAGUACGCGGAAUGCGCGGUGUAGCGGUGAAAUGCAUAGAUAUCGCGCAGAACUCCGAUUGCGAAGGCAGCGUACCGGCGCCAGACUGACGCUGAGGCACGAAAGCGUGGGGAUCGAACAGGAUUAGAUACCCCUGUAGUC